rnacentral:rRNA from 1 species
AGCGAACGCUGGCGGCAGGCCUAACACAUGCAAGUCGAACGACCCUUUCGGGGUUAGUGGCGGACGGGUGAGUAAAACGGGGGAACGUGCCUUUAGGCUCGGAAUAACUCAGGGAAACUUGUGCUAAUACCGAAUGUGCCCUUCGGGGGGAAGAUUUAUCGUCUUUAGAGGGGCCGGCGUCGGAUUAGCUAGUUGGUGGAGGUUAUGGCUCACCAAGGCUACGAUAGGUAGCUGGUAAGAGAGAAUGGGCCGCCACAUUGGGGGUGAGAAGCAGCCGGGAAUCUUGGGGGAGGGAGGAAUGGGUGAUCUAGCGCAAUGGGGGAAGGGAUGACGGAGCCAGGCUGGGAGAAUGAUGAAGGUGGGAGGGAAGUAAACUUCUUUAACACGGGGCUAUAAUGACGGUACCCGGAGAAGAAGCCCCGGCUAACUUCGUG